rnacentral:lncRNA from 1 species
GAGGCCGUACGGUGGCAGAGUAGGUGGUGGCAGUGGUGUACAGAGGGCAGGUGGCUGAAGGCCCUAGGUGCGGCGCACCUAGGGUUGCUGCUGUUUUUCUUUUUUCUUUUCUGCAAAUGGGCUAGGGUUAGGUAGAUUGGGCCUGUUGGGUUGUAUUUUGAUCUGAUUUGGUUUGGGCUCUUAGGUGGUUUUUUUUGGGCCCGGGCAAAAUUGAGCUGUACAGCUGCCCCUCUUUGCUCGUUGUCGUGUAACGAGAACAGAGCAAAGACUAAGAAAGACCAAUUUUGCCCGGUCCCGCUGAGUCUUGACUUCUUUUGACGCUUCUCUUCUUCAAG